UGUGGUGGCGAUAGCGAGAAGGAUACACCUGUAACCAUGCCGAACACAGAAGUUAAGCUUCUUAGCGCCGAUUGUAGUGAGGGG
rnacentral:rRNA from 1 species